AUUGUCUUUUAGCCAUUGUUCAGUUUUUUUUCACCAAAUAGUUAAUCUUAUAGUCAUUGGUAGGCUUGAUAGAAUUUCGGUGAGUUAAUACUUCUUGAACAUAUCUCCAUCGACAUCUUUGCCUAUCAAGCUCAUUAUCGCAAGCAGAAAUUAUUACAUCUUCGACUAUCAGUAUCUCAUCGAUUGGAGACAAUUUUUUAACUACAGUGCAGGAUGAGCCUUUCGUGAACGGGUUUCUCUGCAAAAUCCGGCAAGCAUAUGUCUCGUAGGAUUACUAAUGUAUUCUGCAAAGGGACCUCUGUUCUCUGUGGUAGAAUUCGAUUAUGUUUGAAAAUCCAUCGUAUCUUUUUUACAUACUUCUUUCUCAAAUUCAGUUGGAGAAAUCUAGUCCUCGUAUCAAUUGUAUGUAACCAAGUUUCGUGCUCCGGUAUCUGUUUUAGCUUAUCUAAACUAAAGACCUCUACGUCACGCGCUUUAUAAUACUUCCUUUUGGCGUCUGUAUUUUGUGACGGUACCAUACCCUAUGAAUAGAUCGACC
rnacentral:lncRNA from 1 species